AGUGAACGCUGGCGGCGUGCUUAACACAUGCAAGUCGAGCGAGAACGGAUUAUAGCUUGCUAUAAUUGUCAGCUAAGUGGCGCACGGGUGAGUAAUGUAUAGGUAAUAUGCCUCUUACUAAGGGAUAACAAAUGGAAACGUUUGCUAAUACCUUAUACUCCUUAUUAACAGAAGUUAAUAAGGGAAAGAUUUAUUGGUAAGAGAUUAGCCUGUAUUGUAUCAGUUAGUUGGUGGGGUAAUGGCUUACCAAGACUAUGACACAUAACUGGUUUGAGAGGAUGAUCAGUCACACUGGAACUGAGACACGGUCCAGACUCCUACGGGAGGCAGCAGUGGGGAAUAUUGCACAAUGGACGAAAGUCUGGUGCAGCAACGCCGCGUGGAUGAUGACACAUUUCGGUGCGUAAACUCCUUUUAUAUGAGAAGAUAAUGACGGUAUUAUAUGAAUAAGCACCGGCUAACUCCGUGCCAGCCGCCGCUGUAA
rnacentral:rRNA from 1 species